rnacentral:rRNA from 1 species
UUGUGCUGUCGCUUAUGGAUGGACCCGCGGCGUAUUAGUUAGUUGGUGAGGUAACGGCUCACCAAGACGAUGAUACGUAGCCGACCUGAGAGGGUGAUCGGCCACAUUGGGACUGAGACACGGCCCAAACUCCUACGGGAGGCAGCAGUAGGGAAUCUUCCGCAAUGGACGAAAGUCUGACGGAGCAACGCCGCGUGAGUGAAGAAGGUUUUCGGAUCGUAAAACUCUGUUGUCAGAGAAGAACAAGUUGGAGAGUAACUGCUCCAGCCUUGACGGUAUCUGACCAGAAAGCCACGGCUAACUACGUGCCAGCAGCCGCGGUAAUACGUAGGUGGCAAGCGUUGUCCGGAUUUAUUGGGCGUAAAGCGAGCGCAGGCGGUUCCUUAAGUCUGAUGUGAAAGCCCACGGCUCAACCGUGGAAGGUCAUUGGAAACUGGGGAACUUGAGUGUAGAAGAGGAGAGUGGAAUUCCAUGUGUAGCGGUGAAAUGCGUAGAUAUAUGGAGGAAC